ACGACCUUACUUGAACAGGAUCUGUUCUAUAGGUUGUACACCUGUGUCCUUGAGUUCUAAGGAGACAAGAACCCAAGUCUGGUGGAUGAGUUUCUGCCCUGUGACUAGAGGUGAUUAAUGGCUCACUAUAUCCUUGGACUAGUGGCUGUGGAGGAUCGUUCUUGGCUGGUAGCUCCUGCUGAGAUGGUUGCAAGGCAGUCUGAAAUGGCU